UAGGGAAUCUUCCGCAAUGGACGCAAGUCUGACGGAGCAACGCCGCGGGAGUGAAGAAGGAUUUCGGUUCGUAAAACUCUGUUGUUAGAGAAGAACAGCGCAUAGAGUAACUGUUAUGCGUGUGACGGUAUCUAACCAGAAAGCCACGGCUAACUACGUGCCAGCAGCCGCGGUAAUACGUAGGUGGCAAGCGGUGUCAGGAGUUAUUGGGCGUAAAGCGAGCGCAGGCGGUCAAUUAAGUCUGAUGUGAAAGCCACCGGCUCAACCGGGGAGGGUCAUUGGAAACUGGUUGACUUGAGGGCAGAAGAGGAGAGUGGAAUUCCAUGUGUGGCGGUGAAUUGCGUAGAUAUAUGGAGGAACACCAGUGGCGAAGGCGACUCUCUGGUCUGUAACUGCCGCUGAGGUUCGAAAGCGUGGGUAGCAAACAGG
rnacentral:rRNA from 1 species